GCCUGGGUGGCUCAGUCGGUUCAGCAUCUGACUUCCACUCGGGUCAUGAUCUCACGGUCUGUGAGUUCGAGCCCCGCCUCGGGCU
rnacentral:tRNA from 1 species